rnacentral:rRNA from 1 species
AUUGAACGCUGGCGGCAGGCUUAACACAUGCAAGUCGAGCGGGGUGAUGGUGCUUGCACUAUCACUUAGCGGCGGACGGGUGAGUAAUGCUUAGGAAUCUGCCUAUUAGUGGGGGACAACAUCUCGAAAGGGAUGCUAAUACCGCAUACGUCCUACGGGAGAAAGCAGGGGAUCACUUGUGACCUUGCGCUAAUAGAUGAGCCUAAGUCGGAUUAGCUAGUUGGUGGGGUAAAGGCCUACCAAGGCGACGAUCUGUAGCGGGUCUGAGAGGAUGAACCGCCACAAUGGGACUGAGACACGGCCCAGAUUCCUACGGGAAGCAGCAGUGGGGAAUAUUGGACAAUGGGGGGAACCCUGAUCCAGCCAUGCCGCGUGUGUGAAGAAGGCCUUAUGGUUGUAAAGCACUUUAAGCGAGGAGGAGGCUCUUUUGGUUAAUACCCAAGAUGAGUGGACGUUACUCGCAGAAUAAGCACCGGCUAACUCUGUGCCAGCCGCCGCAGUAA